UACGUAGGUGGCAAGCGUUGUCCGGAUUUACUGGGCGUAAAGGGCGUGCAGGCGGUUUGUUAAGUCUAGGGUGAAAGCUCCCGGCUCAACUGGGAGAGGUCCUUGGAUACUGGCAGACUUGAGGAGGGUAGAGGAGAGUGGAAUUCCCGGUGUAGUGGUGAUAUGCGUAGAUAUCGGGAGGAACACCAGUGGCGAAGGCGGCACCCUGGGCCGGUACUGACGCUGAGGAGCGAAAGCGUGGGGAGCAAACAGG
rnacentral:rRNA from 1 species